GCGUUUUAUUCCUCCUAUUUGUAUGGAUAAAUCUGGAUUCAGUUUUCCCUUCUUUCUCUUGACUUGUUUCAGUUUCUCAUGUUAAUCCAAGUCCAUGGUUAACACCAACUGGCUUAACUCUCUGCAAAGGUGUCAGACUUUGGUAUUAGUUGCUGUUCCAGCCACAUGAAACCAUGCUUUGUUUAAUACUUCAUUAAUCCCAAAAUUAUUCUGAAUUCUUACAAUCAGAUCUCAAGCUAUAUAAAAGAAAAGAAUUAUUAAACUUUACUAUGAAACCAUGACUUAUUUUCUUUUGCAUACAUCUGUUUGUUACCUCUUCAUCUAUCUCUGUUAAAAUACAUCCUCAGCCUUACUUUCUUUUGGUAUAUCCUCAGCCUUACUUUCCUGUACUAUAAAAGAUACCUCCGAGGCUGCAACACAAAAGAACCAUCCACCUAUUCCUUUGACAGAGUUUGAGAGCACAAAAAAAACGCACACAGAUACUUGUCGUCUUGUGUCUCUUCUUGCCUGUAUCUGAUUCCAUCUUUAUUCCCAUUCUUACACUUUGUAUAAAAAUAUAUACCACCCCAUUUCAAAUACAGAGUUAGAUUUCAAAGCCUUCUCUCUAAACCAUGUCCUUCUCCCAGCUCAACACUUUCCGGUUUGUUGAUUUGAAUGUCUACGGAUUGAGAGGAGACACCAUGCCUAGCAGGGCUGCAAAAGCUUUGGCUGCUCUGAAAUGGAAGUGAUAAGUUGACUCCAGAAGAUUUGCUACUGUCAUCCCUAACUGCUUAGGCCAUCGCGUCUUCUUAAGGAUCCUUUUGAAAUGAUUUUAAGCAUACAUCAAUGGGAUUGAUACAUUAAAUUCAUGUGACUUAAUAGCGUAACCUUAUCACUCAUGGUACCAGCUCUUAAAGUUGUAUCUGUCAUUAUAGUCUUUAACAGUCUUCAUUCAUGAGCCAAGUUUGUACUGAUGUUCCAUCCUCUGAUGUUAGGUUUAAUGGUUGUGGGAGGCCUAAUCUUGGCAUCUUUCAUGACAUAUGCGUCGAAGCACCUUGCAAGUAAAUCAUUCUUGAGAGUUCUUGAAGACCGAGAUGCUACUAGAAGUAGGAGGUUUUGUUAGAUAUAGUUCACUGGUGACAAAACUGAGCAUGUAAAACUAUUGACCAAAAGACCAAGUAUGUCCUGUAAGCAGUGUUUGAUGCUUUUGCUGUAA